rnacentral:misc_RNA from 2 species
AACGCACAUUGCGCCCAUUAGUAUUCUAGUGGGCAUGCCUGUUCGAGCGUCAUUAAGUCCACUUAAGCCCUGCUUAGUGUUGGGAGACUGCUCCAGCGGUGCUACCCUGUAGCUACCCUGCAGCUCCUCAAAGACAGCGGCGGAGUUGUGGUAUCCUCUGAGCUUAGUAACUUGUUCUAGCUUUCGAGUACACCACUUCCCCUGCCGUAAAACCCUUAAUUUUUAAUGGUUGACCUCGGAUCAGGUAGGAAUACCCGCUGAACUUAA